rnacentral:lncRNA from 1 species
AUGCUCCCAGACCCCGCCCAGACCCCUCAGCGCUGCCCCACGGCCACCCCCUGGCCCCCAGCUCAGUGUCACCCCCCCGCACCCCUCCAGGCUCGGGACCCCCCUCGGUGGCUCCCCGCAGAGCUCGCGGGGGGGCCCGGCCCCGUUUUGGGUGGGGGCCAAGGCUCCGUUGUUUGCCCUGGGCUCGGUGUCACCGCGUCACUGCCUGCUGCCACCCACCCCGGCCACCCCCCCGCGUGUCCCCCCCGUGUGGGGGGGCGGGCAGAGUACCCCUGGGUGCCCCCGAACGACCCCCCCCGGGGUGACGGCCGGGGGGACCUGGGAUGUCCCCAGGGGAGCACAGACCGUGGGGGGGGGGGCACAGGUGCCACCACCCCCUGCAUCCCUAUGACCGAUGCUGGGGGGGGUGCGGGGAGCCCCCCCAGUUCCAGGCCUGUUUGCAACCCAAAACCAGGGCUGAGGAGGAGGAGGAGGGGGAGGAGGAGGAGGAGGCGGCUGGGCCCUGCGGUGCCUUCACUGCUCAGGAAUGCGGCCGGACCUCGCGGUUUAACCCUCGGGGAGCCGGGCUGGGGGUCCCGGCUGGGCUGCCCCCCCCCCAUGGCCCCAUGGCCCAUAUCCCCAUGUCCUAUGUCCCCCCACCCCAUAUCUCCGCACCCCCUGUCCCCCCGCCUCAAUUCCCAUGGGACAGGAAUCCAUGAGGACCCUGGGGUGGGACACCAUGGGGAUACUGGGUGGGGUCCAUGGGGAUUUUGGGAUGGGGGAACAUGGGGACCCCAGGGUCAGACACCGUGGGGACCCCAGGGCUGGACACCAUGGGGGGGGCCCCCAGCGCCUCCCUGCCAUCCUCCCCUCUCCUCCUCCUCCUCCUCUUCCUCCUGCUGCUGCUGCUCCAGGCUCGAUCAAACGGCCGCUGCAGCGCUGGCAGCAGAACAAAGGCAGCCGGGGGGCCGGGGGGGCCAGGGGGGGCCGGGCCCCCACCCCACGGGCCCUGCCUCACCGGGUCUGAGCAAACUCCGUGCUCCCUGUGGGACGGCAGCACUGCGGGCGCCUCGGCUGUGGAAGCUGGGGGGGGCCUGCAGGGAAACUGCACCCCUGCCCCCCCCCGCAUGCAAACAGCCGUGUCUGUGCAAAGCACCCCCCCAAAGGUGCUGGUGCACGGGCAUUUGCUUAUGCAAAGGUGCGCGGGCCUGCAAGGCGCAGCCAUGCAAAGGUGUGCUGCGGGGAGGCGUUCUGCUAAGGGGUGCGCUUGUGCAAAGGGGUGCGCUUGUGCAAGGGUGUGUGCUGGUACAAAGUUGUGUGCUUGUGCAAAGCUGCAUGCUUGUGCAAAGUUGUACACUUUUGCAAAGCUCUGCGCUUGUAUGA